GUUCCUGUGGUGUAAUUGGUUAGCACAUGGUAUUAAUAUUACCAAGGUUGUGAGUUCAAGUCUCACCUGGAACA